GACGAACGCUGGCGGCGUGCCUAAUACAUGCAAGUCGAACGCUUUUUCUUUCACCGGAGCUUGCUCCACCGAAAGAAAAAGAGUGGCGAACGGGUGAGUAACACGUGGGUAACCUGCCCAUCAGAAGGGGAUAACACUUGGAAACAGGUGCUAAUACCGUAUAACACUAUUUUCCGCAUGGAAGAAAGUUGAAAGGCGCUUUUGCGUCACUGGUGGAUGGACCCGCGGUGCAUUAGCUAGUUGGUGAGGUAACGGCUCACCAAGGCAACGAUGCAUAGCCGACCUGAGAGGGUGAUCGGCCACACUGGGACUGAGACACGGCCCAGACUCCUACGGGAGGCAGCAGUAGGGAAUCUUCGGCAAUGGACGAAAGUCUGACCGAGCAACGCCGCGUGAGUGAAGAAGGUUUUCGGAUCGUAAAACUCUGUUGUUAGAGAAGAACAAGGAUGAGAGUAAAACGUUCAUCCCUUGACGGUAUCUAACCAGAAAGCCACGGCUAACUACGUGCCAGCCGCCGCCGUAA
rnacentral:rRNA from 1 species